AAUUUUUAUGGAGAGUUUGAUCCUGGCUCAGGAUGAACGCUGGCGGCGUGCCUAAUACAUGC
rnacentral:rRNA from 2 species